AGUGAACGCUGGCGGUAGGCCUAACACAUGCAAGUCGAACGGCAGCACAGUAAGAGCUUGCUCUUACGGGUGGCGAGUGGCGGACGGGUGAGGAAUACAUCGGAAUCUACUUUUUCGUGGGGGAUAACGUAGGGAAACUUACGCUAAUACCGCAUACGACCUACGGGUGAAAGCAGGGGAUCUUCGGACCUUGCGCGAUUGAAUGAGCCGAUGUCGGAUUAGCUAGUUGGCGGGGUAAUGGCCCACCAAGGCGACGAUCCGUAGCUGGUCUGAGAGGAUGAUCAGCCACACUGGAACUGAGACACGGUCCAGACUCCUACGGGAGGCAGCAGUGGGGAAUAUUGGACAAUGGGCGCAAGCCUGAUCCAGCCAUACCGCGUGGGUGAAGAAGGCCUUCGGGUUGUAAAGCCCUUUUGUUAGGAAAGAAAAGCAGCAGGUUAAUACCCCGCUGUUCUGACGGUACCCAAAGAAUAAGCACCGGCUAACUUCGUG
rnacentral:rRNA from 1 species